rnacentral:rRNA from 1 species
UGGGGAAUAUUGCACAAUGGGGGAAACCCUGAUGCAGCGACGCCGCGUGAACGAAGAAGGUAUUCGUAUCGUAAAGUUCUGUCCUAUGGGAAGAUAAUGACAGUACCAUAGAAGAAAGCUCCGGCUAAAUACGUGCCAGCAGCCGCGGUAAUACGUAUGGAGCGAGCGUUGUCCGGAAUUAUUGGGCGUAAAGGGUACGCAGGCGGUUUAAUAAGUCGAAUGUUAAAGAUCGGGGCUCAACCCCGUAAAGCAUUGGAAACUGAUAAACUUGAGUAGUGGAGAGGAAAGGGAAAUUCCUAGUGUAGUGGUGAAAUACGUAGAUAUUAGGAGAAAUACCAGGUGCGAAGGCGACUUUCUGGACACAAACUGACGCUGAGGUACGAAGGCGUGGGGGGCAAAUAGG